GGCGGCUACGGCAACUCCGAUGGGAACUGGAGGAGCUGAGCGGUGGGGCCCGCGUGGCCAAGUUAUCUUGUCGCUACUACUGUUACCAGAGUUAUCCCUAUGUGUCGUCCUAGUGUCUUCGUCGUCGUCUCCGACCUGUGUUGGUCUUCUGUUUCCUGUUGUUGCCCAUCUGUGUUUUUGAUCGCAAGCUUGUUCGUCGUGUCUGUCGUCAGAGCUAUCCUCAUCUCCAAACAUCCCAUGAACCGGGUGUUGGGAUUGGGAUGCUGUUAUCCUCGUGAAACUUUGUUACCAUCCGUUUUUAAGUUAAUCAGAUGAAAAAAAAAUGGUGCUGCUUGGUGCUGCAAAUGGAGUUCGUUGCUUCUGAGUGUUGUGGAUGAUAAUUCUAAUUUGUAAAAAGUAAACAGCACUGAGAUAAAAGUUGCAGUGCUUUAGCGAGCAGAUCAGGGAAAAAGUUGCACAAAUCUGGGGGAAAAGUGAUUUGUGCUAAUCAUGACAAAGAUCCUCACGUAUGGUGCUAAUCCAUGAAUUCCACUAGCCUCCAGAUGCCAUCACAGAUACAGAAUCCAACUUGGACUAUUUUUUCAUGACGAAAACAAGUAACAGUAAGUUGCAGAGAUUUGUUGGAUUUUUCAGUCACGUUUGCAUCGAGUCUCAGCCCAACAAUCCUCAACUCGAAACUCCCAUCCCAUCGAGAUUCCACCAGGAAGAUUGAAUCUAGCUGCAGUGUCUUCAGUCGAGGACGUAGAUGCGCGAGGCGACGUCUUGAACGAGCCAGUCGAAGCCCUGAAGCAGCCCGUCGCCGGUGAAGGCGCUGCAGCCGACGAUCUGCCAGUGACGGCUCUUCUCCAUGGCCGCCAGAUCCAGGACCUGAAAAACCAAAACCACACCAACCAAAUCACAACAGGAUUCCAACGAUCGCAAUUCGUACGUGCAAGGUUGCAGCAGGAACACUGCUAACUGUGCUAUAAUAAGCUGUCUAUACUAGUAAUAGCUUGUCUGAUCUCGAUGUCGAAAUAUGGUGGCUCAACGCUCAACUAAAUUAUUGUCUGAUUUGAGAAUCUUAGCAAGGCGCUGUUCGAGUGAACGAUUAUAAAUUCUAGAUGCACACAAGUAGAUACUAAAAAAUAUGAACUUGACAAACACCGCCAGAAGACCCGAGUACCUUGGCGAUUUCUGCUGGUUUCAGGGCACCCUGAAUGUCCUGCUUGUUUGCAAACACCAACAACGAAGCUCCGGCUAGUCUCUGCAAUCAAGAUUACGGCACACAAGACAAGCGCGAUUAAGAGUCAUUGAUGGUGAACAGUAAGUCAAUGAACAUCGCAUCAUUUUCAGGCGACUUUAGACUUCUGAGCCAACAAAAGUGAUCAGCGUGAAGCUAACUGUUAGCAUCGCUGACUAGAUGAUGCACCUCUUCUUUCAGUAGAUUGUGGAGCUCUGCUCGACAGUCAUCAAGCCUCCGGAUGUCAGAGCUGUCAACCACCCAAACCAGGCCGUCAGUCUGCUCGAAGUAAUUCCUCCAGUAUGAGCGGAUCGUCUUCUGUCCCCCAACAUCCCAAAUGUUCAAGGAGUACCUGCGACAAUCACCAUUUCGUCAAUCUGCAGCAAUUUGUGACAAAUCAUUGCUGUACCCAUGACAUUUCUCAUCACCAAUUCACUAUGAGUUCCAAGAAGCAGUUGAAAUUUUGGCAAAUAUAUCUAGUUUUCACCUAUAUGACCUAACAACAGCAGACUGCUUAGGACAGUACUGAAUGCAGAACUCAAGUACAUCAGGAGAUGCAUUCAGUUUCUGCUGUCAAUACUGCACUAUACUGUAUCUGAAAUUCACAAAUAGCCAGGUCUGCUGAGAGGGGGCCGACCUGGUUCUGUACAUUUUCCUAUUCCUAGCUAGGUUGUGUUUGGUUCCUGGUAUGAACUAUUCAUGUAGCAAACGGUCCUGAUCCUGACACAACUGUCGUGUUAUUGAUUGGAUCGAACCAAUCAUUCCUGGAUGGGCUCGUUCAGAUUCCGGGCAUAUUCCUUUAAGAUGCACUCCUGCAAUUUCUUUUCAGGAAAAAGGGAUCUAAAAUUAAAAAUUGCGCGUUUGACUCCCAUAAGACCAGAACUGAAGACAGCGCUGCUUCCAUCGGAGCUUGCUGCAUUAGCUUGCGUAUGCUGACAUUGAUGCCAAAAUACAGUUCAAAAUGGCUUUCAGUCUUGGUAAACAAGCAUUAACAUAAGAACCACCAAACAAAUAUUAUAUCUAUGCCACUGCUGGAGAGGUAAUGUAGCUGGAUAACCUUCACCGUUAGCUAACAAUUACUGUUUGGCUAGGCACAGCCACAGGGGCUUAUAUUUUUCUACCUAUGGCUGUUAACAUUAUGACUGCCUCAUCAAUAAUUUAAAAGUCACAUGUUUGCAUUGUAAAAGGGUCAUGUAAAGUUUAUCUUUGGUGAAUACUAAGGCUAGAAAGUCCUGAAGGAUAGGAAAAGGUGCAGAGUAGGCACACUUCCAACAGUUCAGGAAAAUGAUCUAACAUAGAGUCAUCCUAAAAAAAAUGCUCUAGCAAUUUCAUUACAAUCGACUCAAAAUUGGAUGCUCUAUGCAGUAGUGGAACUUCAACAAAUUUCUAGAGGAUACUUAACUGCUUAAUUCUGUGCUUUUUAUUGUAAGCAAAUAGGGAUACUUAGCUUAUUAGCAAAUUGUAUAACCAGGAGGGGCCAUGGCCCCCCUUUGGCCAUCAAGAAGCUCCACCCAUGGCUCUAUGGUUGAUACUAGCAUUGCAUGUGUGGGGCUUCUAAUGUUACUGAAUUCUUCAGAAUACUUUAAAUACAAACAGUGAUUUCCUUGUAUAGCAUAUCAUUACAAUCAUCUAAGCAACUAAAUAGUUAUCCAAAGCUAAUUAUACAACAAAAGGAAUACAUACUUUUGAUACUUGAUGGUCUUGAUGUUGAAGCCAAGGGUGGGGCUGAUUACACUGGUGUCCUCCCCAUUGAUCUUCAGCACAAUCGUUGUCUUACCUGAAUUGUCCAGCCCCCUGAAAUUAUCACAUCAUUGACCCACCGAAAAGCAGAAAGAAUCAUGAACGUGAGCCAAGGACUCGAUAAUGGGAAUCCUUCAACGCAUAAAGCAAACAGAGACUGCAUCUAAACCCAAGAAUAAACAGCAGCAUGUAUUUGCUGGGACCAUGGGAGAAAUAAAAGGGGUUGGAAUCAGAGGAAAAUGCUUACACCAUGAGAAUCCGCAUCUCCUUUUCCUUGCGUUUGAUCUUUCUGAUGAUGCUAAGGAGACCCAUCUUGGAGGGGCGGCCCAGGAGAUGAGUCAAGAGGCAAGGAAGAUAAAGAGAGAGGCUGAAAGAGUACUGAAUUCUUCAAUGCAGUAGAGCCAGUCUUUGUUUGUGAUGUCGCUCAGGUUACUAUCAGCAGGUAUUCAAGCAUCAUCCCCCUAUGGUUCGAUUGAACACAGCUGCGCAAUGUCACAAACAGAAACAACGUUACAACAGUUCAGCUUGCCUCUAAAUUACACAGAAAGAGCAGUAUUCCUCUGCUGGGAACAAAUCUCAAAUCUUGUUAAACCAGUUUUACAAGACACGUAAGUUGGCACGGAAUUUUCACAUCGGUAAUUUUUUUUAUACACUUUGUCUCACACGAAAUGGCCACUCUUGUAAUAAAACUCGAAGGUAGCAGCUUCAUUCUCAAACUACAGGAACCGCAAGAGCACCCUUCAGAGUGCUGCAAUCGACCGAACAUAAUUCCUACCAGGCGUCCAGGCACAACUUUGUUUCGAAUCACCCCCAAAACCCAAAGGAGUGAACAAAGCAUAGGAAAACAUCCAUUCAACUAGCGCAAGAAGGUGAGUCAACGUUGAGCCAUCGAAGAAAGAAUUUCUUAGUUUUUUUUGGCGCACCUAUUCUAGAAGCGAGGAGGAGGAGGCGGUCGUCCCCGCUCGGCGACGUCGCCCUAGCCCCGGAGUAAGAAGUCGUGGGAUCGAGAUCGGGGUGGCGCGGUCUCCGGGCUCUGGCAGGCGAACCGUCGUCCUGCUCGCGGGCGGCCGUCGCCGGCGAGAUGCAGCUUGUGCCCAAAUGUGGAGGAGGACGGCGACCGACGAUGGUUGGCGGUGGGCUAGCUAGUUGAGAGUUGGUUUUGAUGGGCCGAAUGCAGUGUUUUCGUUCUUGUUUGGGCCUGGCCCCCGCUUCCUUUUCGAGGGGAAAAUCCCACGCUCGUCUUGCAACGCCCAGUUUGGAUACGGGUCUCAAGUCUGCCAUUCGAAAUGUUGAAUCUAGCAUUUAAAAUGUUGUAACGUACUAUUUCAACAUUAUUGUAUAAAAAGUUGAACUAGUUCAUUCAAAAUGUUGAACUAAAUUUUAAAAAAUGUUGAAUAUAGUAUUUAAAAUAUUGAACAUACCAUUUCAACAUUACCGUAUAGAAUGUCAAACUAGUUCAUUUGAAAUGUAAACUAGAUUUAGAAAAUGUUCAAUCUAGUAUUUAAAAUGUUGGACAUACUAUUUCAACAUUACUGUAAAAAAAAUGAACUUGUUCAUUCGAAAAUGUUAAACUAGAUUUAAAAAUGUUGAAUUUAGCAUUUAAAAUGUUGAACAUACUAUUUGAACAUUACCGUAUAAAAUAUUGAGCUAGUUAGUUCGAAAAUGUUGAUCUGGGUCUAAAAGUGCUGAAUCUAGUAUUUAAAAUAUAAACUAAUUUACAUUUUUCUCACGAGGUCGCGGGAAAAAUACAAAGAAAAAGUUACUAAGAUGGUCACAUCCUACUUAUGCGUUGGGUACUGCACGGGUCCCAGCGAUCCAGCACUCCACAUAGUACCUACUUACUACUGUCACUGUGCUAAAAAAAAUACUGUCACUGCACGAGGUAAAGGGGUGUUUGGAUACGAGGUGCUAAACUUUAAUAGAGUCACAUCAAAUAUUUGGAUGCUAAUUAGGAGGACUAAACAUGACCUAAUUACAAAACUAAUUACACAGAUGGAGUCUAAUUCGCGAGACAAAUCUAUUAAGCCUAAUUAGUCCAUGAUUUGAUAAUGUGGUGCUACAGUAACCGUUUACUAAUGAUGGAUUAAUUAGCCUUAAUGUAUUCGUCUUGUGAAUUAAACUCCAUCUGUGCAAUUAGUUUGUAAUUAGACUAUAUUUAAUACUCCUAAUUAGUAUCAAAUAUCCGAUGUAAUAGGUACUAAAGUUUAGUAGGAGGUGUGUAUAUAUAUAUAUAUUUAUAGAGCAAGCAGCUACCGUGCUCCCCACAAAAUUAUAUUACAUGAGACUGUACGCCUGGGUAUGGCAGGCAGGGCACACCAUAUAACUAUCUUAUCUCUGCAGAGUGCAGGUACGGUGGUAUAACUACUGGUAAUCUAUACAGAAGCAGUGCAGGUACGAACUGUACGUGCAUCAGUUUCCGUACUGGGGAAUCACGCGGCCAUGGCCAUGUCCUCAUGUACCCCACAACGCAAGCAGGACGAUCGAGAAGGCACGCAGCAGCCAGAUUAUUAACAAAUCCUUCCCAAUGCAAUGCAAGUUCCCAACUAAUCAAAAUUCAUUCUUGUUGUUGCUGCUGAAAUUUAAAAUCUCAAGACAUGCACGUACGAUCGAUCCAAAUAUACUCUUGACGAUCCAAAUAUUCGUGUCGUGUAGUUGAAAAAUUAAAUCAAACCAAAUCCCUUUUUUCUUAAACUUUAAAGAAAACCAGCGCGAUAUCGUCCGGUGAUCUCGUGAUCCCUAUACUAGCUUAGCUUGGUUACUGAUCGGGUCCCUCUAAUAAACAACAGAAAUGUGGAACAGAAUCGCAGGGAUCGCUCCAUCAAACAACUCCAAAUCCACAGUCCAUUUAUGUAUAUCUCUCCAUCAUAAUAAAAGAAAUAAUCCACGACCACUACCAGUUGUUGCCAAUGCCACCUUUUCUUUAUUUUUAAAUCUCUCUCGGAUACUAUGUGUAAUCUUCUCUCGUACCGUACGUGUGAUGUGUAUAUGAUGCAGCGGAUCAUGGAGAUGUUUUUUCUUUGGUUGUUAGCACUGCUGCGUGCUGCUAGAUUUCUUUACAACUGUUAAAUAAGUAAAAUAUUUAUCCAAGAUCAGCCACACAAGAUAAUAUAUAUUAAUGUACUAACUCCUACCACCUACUUUAAUUGUUUAUUCAGAGGGUUAUUCCUUAUCAAGAUCGUUAAAUAUACCAACACCGCAGGAUUGUUUCGCACACACGUGCUAUAUUUCCUUCAUGUGUAACUAGUUAAUUGUGAAAUCUUAUCCUUACUGCAAGCUAACUCAUAUAUUAUUCCCUUCAAAAAAGGAAAAGAAAAGAAAAGAAAGGUAUUAUCCAGAUAAGUAUAUAUGUUUAUUUCUAUCAUUAUCCAGAUAAGAUAUAGAUGUGCCAAAAGACUAAUAAUGUAACAAUGCUCCUAGCUAUGUAUUAUUGUGAUCUUCAGAAGAUAAUGUUGUAUUGUCCAAUCAAUAUAAUAGGCUCCUUAAUUAGAACGUUGAAGAUCGAGAAGAUUUAGAAAAUCAUGCGUGGGCUUAAUUAAUUACUUGGUUGUGAUUUAGUUUAUUUAUUUGCUGUGGAUAUACAGGAACUACAUAUAACUUUUGCAAAAUUCAACUAGUGAUCAUCAGAAAGUAUAUAUAGUAGUUCCAAUGCAUAAGGUGACAACUUGUACUUUACUCUUACAACUACGUGCCAACCAAUGCAUAAUCAACUCCAGAUGGUAUUUUUAAUCACAGCCAUGUCCCGAGAUUAUUGGCUCGAGGUCUACGCGCCCACCAUGGAUCCUGCAGCAUCCUGUUCCUGAUUGGAACCAACAGUUUUUUGGAUUUAAGUAUAACAACAAAAUUAAUCUUGCAUGAUGACAGUAGCUUCGUCUCUACUUUAAGGGAUUCUCCAUGAUUCGCUGACGAUCGAUUACAUAUACCAUACUCCUAUAUACAUGCAUGCCUUGUUAAUCCAUCGAUUGACACCUUUUCGAUCAGCAAUGGAGGAUCACACAAUUGUUGAAGAUUAUUCGAGAAGAUAUAAUAAUCGACAUAAUCUUGAUCUCGUUUUCAACAGUAUAUGAGAGCUAAUUUAAUUAAUUUCUGCUGUGAAAUGGAUAGGUAUAAUUACCUGCUCUUGCAUGCAAUCUUUUGGCUAGCUAAUACAUUUUCUUACAUGACAGCGGACAUUGUUGUUAUUUUAAAAAUAACCGCUAGCUCUGAUUGAAUCGCCAGCUGAACAUGUUGGCUGACAGUGUUGCAUUGACUGGAGAUAGUGUUGGCUGCAGCUGCUUUCGUUCGUGGGCCCGGCUUCAAUUGCCAUGCCACGUGGGCUUGUCUCGCACAGGCGCACAUGUGUACCUCUCUCUCGAUCAGCUAACAGUACAUUGCAGAACGUCGAGAUCGACCUGUGUUGUUGAUGCUGAUGCUUUAUUUUAAUUUCAUUUCACUGUGCUCAAUUAGCCUUGCUGUCUUGUUAGCCUUGUUAAUUUCAUUUCAGUAUAUGCAGACACACACAAAAGCCGAAACAGCUAGCCAAUUGAAUUGUCACCAACUGAACGUGCUAAAGAUCUGUGUGCCUGUAUACACAGACACGCUCCAUCUACGUGUCUGUGUGCCACAAAGCAUUUUUUUUUUUGAAAGACAAGAAAAACACUAAAGCACGGAUAGGCUUCACAUCAGUACGUGUCGCAGCGUGUGAUCUUUUCGGUCCCGGCCUAGCUCUACGUGCCAAACUAUAAGCUGCUUUAUUUUCAGCACGCGCGUAUAAAUUCUUUAUCUUUUUUAACAGCCGCAAUUUGUACAACGUUUCCAUAAGCACGCAUGCUAAUGUAUAUAAGCACGUGAUCGAUUACUUUGCAUGCCACCACCCACUUGCCUCGAUGAAAUCGACUGAUCGAUUUUAUUGUCAACCUCUGUCCCACCGGCAACCGAUAGGCGUUUGAGUUUUUAUAUUUUUGCUGAGAUAGGUAUCCCAAGAUCGAGUACGUAUGUGUACAAGUAUUAUAUACCAUAUACAUCCGUACCAUACACGCCUGUGGUUUCGAUGCCCUAAUAUAUUGUGUAAAUAUUUAAAUAUUAAUUAUUAUGGAUAUAUAGGGUCGUCGAUAUGUGUAAUGGAAAACGUUUGGGGGAAAAUUAAAGCAGGCAGAGUAGAAGCUGAUGAGCCAAUUCAGGCAACAAAUUAAAAUUAAGGUGCCCUGAUCGAUCUCAUGCAUGCAGACGCGUAUCUCUAUAUAUGUGUUGUGGAGAUUUUCACGUAGGAUGAAAAUUAAAAUAUAUAGCAGAUGUCCCUUUUGUAUCAUCGUCACUGAUUAGUAAAGGUAAAGCGACCAAUCAGGGAUCAGGUCGCUUUCAUUUGUUUCCCGGCAAUUGAAUAACUUUUCCUUGGUGGGGGAAGAAGAGCACAAGAGUCAAGAUCCUCUGAUCUCCUCAUGUGUGUUUCACGUUUGUGUUCCUGUUGCUUCGUCUGCUAACCAACUACACUCUGCAAAAAGGAAAACAAGUCUUUGGAGAUGAACAACAACGGCUAGCUACACGUACCAUCCAUAUGACGGCACUUUAUUCGUGUCUGUUUUCAAUUUUUUCAAGACGAUGGGGCCACCUUUAAUCUCUUCGCCACUUAAUUAAGCUCUCUAUCGAUCUUCAAUUAUUUCGAUAUCGUCUCUGGGCUAACCCUUUUGCACGAAGCAUGUUACAUGCACUACUUCAAUAUAUACGAAUUGAGUUGAGCUUAUGUAGGAUUUCAUAUAUAUUCCUAUGGUAGCACUGAAAUUGCAGAUUCAGUAGUAUUAAUAGUACUUCCUCCAUUCCAAAUCCAAAUUGUACGUUGUUUUGGCCUUUAUUUUAAGGUUCAUAGUUUUAGCUAUUCACGUAUAUAUACAUUUAUAUCUAGAUAUAUAACAAAAUCUAAUAUUUAGAAAAGUCAAAAUGACCUAUGAUAUAAUUUAAAACAGAGGGAGUAAUUAAUAGAACUGAAAUUAAUUAUAUUGCUACUAGCUGGACGGUAGUACUUUGUUUCGCAGGGCUAGGUUCCAUCUGACUGAUGAGACGACAGGGCUAGCUGUUAUUGCGAGAACACAAUUAGCGAGGGCACUGGUGAGAUCAAGCAUGUACAUGGUGAGAUCACCAAGACAUGCAUGGGAUGUUUGCACUGUACUGCGCAUGCAGCAUGCUGGACCUGCGGACUGCAGAAGCUGGUCGAGCUGUCCAACAGCAUGUGGGCCCAACUCAAUAGUAACAACUUUGUUCAUUUUUAAGCUAAUUAGUUUGUCCCAAUAAACGUCAUAUAUGUUUUUUUUAAAAAAGGGUAGCAGUGCUGGUGUAUAUCCUGAUUGACAAACCACAUGACAUAAAAUUUUUGCAAGCACUUCCAAUUGAUAGGGCAUGCAUGGGGACAAUGUUGAUAUUAUAAAUGAUGACAAUCGUAUAUUGAUCCCUCCAUCAGAUCAACUUGUUCCUCGCCGUCGCCGAUCUUGUCAUAUAAUUAACAGAGAAAUACAUAAUAAAAAAAACACAUGCAUGCUUAAGUAAUAACUUUUAGUAGUUUAAAAAUUUCAGGGAGUCGUCCAACACAACUCAAAAAUGAAGAGUUCACUGCUCACAUUACGAAAAUAAAGCAUGUCAGAUGCACAGCUGAUCAAGUGCCUAGCUCCUUCAUAUAUAUGAAUGCAUCAUGCACAUGCUGCUAUAGUAUGAACCCUAGAAACGGUCACUGAGCCUCCACAAUUAACAAAGUACAAAGUACAAAUCACUAGCUCAAUAGAAAAACGUAACCGGCCUAGCUCCAGUUGACUUGGACCAUGCAUCCACACACACACACACACAAUGGUAACAUACGGCAGUAGAAUUGAAUAUGUGUGUUAUUACUUGUUUAUGCCGUGCAUCGAUCUCUAUAUAUAGCAAACGGCACGCGUCGCAGAGGUCGUGCACAAUCUUCAAUUUCACAUCUACAUGCAUCAUGCACGGUGUCGUGUCAGCCACCAGUACUAUAGUGGCUCAUACCCUCCUCAGCUGUUCAUCAGCACACAUGCAUAUAGUGAGUGAAAUUAUUGCUUCAACUCCAAUGCUUUAGUCGCAGCUAGCUAGCAGUGUCACGGAGGUCGGAACUUUAUCCAUUUUCUAAAAAAACCUCAAUGCUUUAAUUAUAUUAUUAGCUCCCGGCCCAGCCUCACGUACACGCAUAGCAUAUCAGCAAUUCAUCGGCAGCUAACUUUUCUUUUCUGUGACAGUAGUGUAAAUUAAUUAAAAGACAAGUAUAUAAACCCUAUACUAAUACUAGUAUAAUAUUGGGGAGGGUUAGGCCACGGUGCAACAGCGGCGAGGAAACUAAUAUUUUAUGUGAGGGCGAAAGUAAUCAUAGAGGAGGCGAGUGGGGACAUUGACAAGAAGGGAGGGCAUAUGUGUCCAGCAACCCACAGGGGGUCCUUAUAUCUACCAAACAGCACACUCCUGCUGCUUGUUGAGUCUUUUUCUCUGGAUGCUAGCUAGCUCCAAGAAGAUAGCUGCAGAUCGAGAGGCAUCACCAGCUUUUUCUCUCUUCCAUCUGCAGGUACUUGUUGGUUGGCCGGCAACCCAUGCAGCAUCCAUAUCUCUUCCUCAUCUCUUUGAUUCGAUCUCUUCUUCUUUGAGGAGUUAGCUUUCCGAUCUUAUUUGGCCAGCUUGUUCUUGAUUGCCUUUUGAUUUCUUUGGAUUAUUUGUUCUUCAAGUACUACUGCAUGUGGAUACUCAUGCAUGCUUGCUGACGGUCUGUUGUUGCAUGCCGAUCUGUCUGGGCACCUGAACCUGACCAGCAGUGACUGACUGACUGACUGACUGACUGAUUGAUUGAUUGGCCUUUGUCUUCAGAUUGAGAGCUCAGCUUAUUACCACUUAUUGCAGUAGUAGCAGCUUAAUUGAUUCAGUUUCAUUUGCCUUUUGGUUCUAAUUAUCAUCGUCUUCAUCCUUCUCUCAUCAUCAGACUCAGAUGCCCUCGAUUUUAAUCUUCUCCAUACAAAUAUCAUUUCUUGAUUUGCUCGUUGUUGACUGCAUCUUCAUGAUUUUUUGAUGAUUUCAAGAUCCUUUCUGAUUUGUUCACUCAGUCAUCAGGGACAGGAAUUAUGGAUCGACAUAUGGAAGAUUCGAGCACGUUCCUCCAGUGGGCAAUGAACCAGCUGCACCAUCAGCAGCCCUCCGCCGCCGCCGCAGCUUCUGCAUACCAGGACGGAGCUGGUGCCGGCGGCAGCGGCGCCGCCGGAAACAGUGAAGCUGUCUUCCCGUCGCUCCAGGCGCUCCGCAGCGGAGCCCCCCAGACCCAACCCCAGCCCGUGGCCGCCAGCGUCCGAGUCCGCGACCUGACGGUGCAGGUGGACCACCGGACCAACAGCUCCAGCUCCGGCGACAGCCCGGGCGGAGGCGCUGCCAUGGACCACGACGCGACCACCGGGUGGUCCCCCCACACCGCCCGCUCCAGGACCACCGGCCUUGGCGGCGGCAGCAACAGCAGGCCCAUGAGCUGGAACUUCAGCGCCGCGGCGGCGCAGCCAGCAGCGUGCGAGAGCGGCGGCGGCGUCGCGCUGCCGGACGCCGCUGUGGCCGCGAGGGCGGUGCAGCUGCCAUCGGCGGGGAGGAGAGGGGGCGGCAGCGCGGCGCCCGCUGCUGCUGCUGCUGCGGCGCCAUCGUCGUCGCCGGGUCCAGUGCAGGACCACAUCAUCGCGGAGCGGCGGCGGAGGGAGAAGAUCAACCAGCGGUUCAUCGAGCUCUCCACCGUCAUCCCCGAGCUCAAGAAGGUUACUAGCUCACCAUUUCUUUCUUUUCUUUUUUGAUGACUGAUUCAGCUAUCAGCUGCCAUGAGAUAGCUAGUUGUUGAUAUAAUCUUCUCCUUCUUGUUAUUUUCUUCUUCUCCUUGUUCUCGUCCUCCUACCUCUUUUGUCAUUUUUGUUCUUUAAUUUCAUGCUUGUUUUCAGCCAUCUCAUCAAGGGGUUAAUUUUCAGCUUUGACAUGGCUCUUGGUGAAUCUCACAUGUUGGAUCGGACCAAGAUUGCAUGUACAUCAUCCCAAUAAAAGUGCAUGUAUUUACCGGCACUGUUGUUGCCCAAUCAUUUACUGAUAUAGUACAAAGAAAAGCGAGCUAGCACCUAGCAGAUUAGGUUCUUAGCAGCAAAAGUGCAAGCAUGGAGCGCAUAUAUUCUUGGUUUCAAGAACAAAUUUCAAAGUUAAAAAUUGUAUUAUGCUAGGAAAAUUUCAGCUACUACAGUGCACUUAUUAUAAUAACUUGAUCGGUAAUGGAGCAAGCAUGGAUCAUUUAUAAUUACUUGGAUCAUCACUAAUUAACUACAUCAUGAUCUUGAUGUUGCAGAUGGACAAGGCGACCAUUCUUGGGGACGCGGUGAAGUACGUGAGGAAGCUGCAGGAGAAGGUGAAGACCCUGGAGGAGGACGGCGCCCACAGCGCCGGCGGCAGCAGCAGCAUGGUGCAGUCGGCGGUGCUCGUCAAGAAGCCGUGCCACCUGCAGCCCGAGGACGAGGCCAUCAUGGCGAGCGGCGGCGGCGGCGACGGCGGUCAGCUGCCGGAGAUCGAGGCGCGGCUGUCGGAGAAGAGCGUUUUGGUGCGGAUCCACUGCCGCAACGCGAGGGGGCUUCUGGUGAGGGUGAUAUCGGAGGUGGAGAAGAUGCACCUCUCCAUCACCCACACCAACGUCAUGCCCUUCCCCGCCUCCACCGCCAUCAUCACCAUCACAGCCAAGGCGAGUAUGAAUAAUUCAUCAUAUUUCUUUUUAAAAAAAUCAUCAUAGGAUCCAUCGAUCUGCACUACGUACUGUAAAUACCAAUCAAUUAAUCAAUUGCACCAUGCAUGCAUUCAUGGGCAACAACCGACAAGCUAGUAUGCAUAUGCAUGCAACUAGAGAGCAAGCAAAUAAUGCUAAUAUUAUAAUAUAUGUACUGUCUUUAAUUUGAGUAGUGUGCACCAUUUCGAUAUUAUUACCUUAUGGGUAUUCCUCUAUUUAAUAACAUUUAUCAUUGUAUGGACAUGUGUUUUUUCUUCUUCUCAAGGUACUCCACUCAUGGUAGAUCUUGAGGGAUCAAUGGAUGAUUACACGAGGAAAAAAAAGAUUAGGCAUAUAUAAAAAGGAAACACAAUUACUACAUACUUGGUGUAAAAACAUUUUAGAUGUGUUAAGGGAUUAAAGGCAAUUGCACAAGGUGCAAUAUAUAUACAUGUAUUUUGCAUGAGCUGCUAGUUAAAAUAUUAGGCGCUCAUUAGUUGUGGAUUGGUCAAGUCAGCUGGCAGAUGAAAUUUUCGUCUGUUAAAAAGUUUAUAAAAAAGAAUUGACUUCGGGUGUGCUUGAGUAGUUGAAAUAAUAGCAGAUGAAACAAAAUGAUGUGGGAAGAUAGUUGAUAUGAAGAAACUGUCAAAAGGGUGGGGUGACAAUUUGUAAAAUGUCAAAAAUGCAUAAAAGCUUCUUUCACAUCCCUUUUGUAAUAUAAAAUGUCAAUUUAAGGGGACAAUGUGAUCCGACUUCAACCAAUAAUAUCCAAUAUAACACACUAAUACUAUGUACUGAGAGUGAUACCUUGACUUAUGAAAAGUACCAUUCUAUGCCAUAUUGCUUGGGUAACAAUUUUCGUACAAAGAUGAUCAUAUUAUCUUUUGUUUGAGAUGAUAGUAUAUAUGAUGUUAAUGAUACUUAACACAUUAUUUUGAUCAGAUUAUUGUUCAACUGUCUUUCAGGUGGAGGAGGGGUUCAUUGCCACAGUGGAUGAGAUAGUGAGAAGUAUUAACUCCGUGCUACACCAACAUUACAGCAGCAGUUCUGAAGAAACAAGAGGAUAGAAAGUAGACAACAACCGCUAGCUAGCUUAUUUCCUAGGGGGAAAAAAACUAAGAAGAGGAUCACUACUGCAGCCAUGCUUCUCUCCAUCCAUGAGGUGAAGGGCAUCAAAUAAUUGAGCACGCAAUUAAGCCUCUUUAUCUGAUGAUAUAAUAACAUGAGAUCAGACACAGAAACUCUCAUCAUCAGGUAAACUAUGACGAAAAGAUGGCAUGCAUCAACAUGUUGAUCAAUGACGUGCGAGGAUCGAUUUCUCGACCACAAGUUGCAAGUUUCGGCCUAGCCGUACACUCAUGCAGUUGCUCAAUCAAAAUCAUUGAUGAGAGCAUCAAAAUGACCUUUUGCUUCAUGUCAAAAGAGAACAUGCAUGUUAUUUAAUACUGUUUUUUUUUGCAAGUUACAAUGUCUGCAUCAAACCCUUUCAUAUAUUUACACACUUGCUAUCGAUAAUAUUUCUGGAAAAUACAACGAUUAGCUGGAUCAGAAUAGGGCUAACAAAUCCAAUAUGAUCUCGAUCUGAUCUUAUACCAAAUAAUUACGUCAUUUAUUUUAGAAAACCAUCAAUCUGGAUUUGUUUUAAAUUAGUAUAUAUAAUCAGGUAUGCAAUCUUCUCUGAGUCAUGUAUGAGUCAUCCGUCAUGCAUCCAAAAGAAAUAUAUAUUUCUAUCGUAUAAAGGUCGUCUGAUCCUCACAAAAAGAAAAAAAAUAUUAUAAAGGUGUAUGGUUUAGUACUGUACGUGUUAGUUAGACGCUCUUUAAUUAUGUAGCGUUUGUUUAAGAGAUAUCGCGUGAUCUGUACAGCACGUACUGAAGAUACGGAAGCUCCGGUCAGAAAUUUAAUUAAAUUAAAGAUCUCUCGAUCCAAUUGUUUUUUGUGGUGAGAUACAGGGAAAGCUGUUGAGAUUUGCAGUGCAAAGUUGGCACAGUACUGUUUGCAUAAAAUGCAACAUGUCUUUGGUUGGCAUAGCAAGCCAAGAUCGAAGAUAUGAUCAUCAAUCAGGUACUGCAUGCAAUUGUAUUAUAUAUUCUGCAGUUGUUGCAUACCAAUAUAUACCAUCAUGUCAUGGAUCAUGUGUGUGUACACAUUAAUAUACGUGAUCAAGGAAUAAAGCAUGAUGAUUUAGCAGCCUUAACGAUGAUUUCGAGAGAUUUGUUGCAAUCAUAUAUUGGAUUAUUCUUUUUUUCCUUGAGGAAGCAUCUUGGUGAUGAACACACCAUCUUCGUUCCUUCUUCUGGGGACCCGGCCGUCUGGUCGUUGCCGGACAAGAAAUACUCUAAUGACACAAAGGGUACAGUACCAAACUGGAGGGACAUGAACUAAAAAAUAUUCUGAAUUGAGAUCAGUUGGCAGAUCAGCAGAUCUCAAGCAACUAUAUAUUCUUUUCAACUUUUGAUCGCCUAAAAUAAGAAACUAUCGUUUUGGUAUAAAAUAAGAAACCAUUAUAUUAAUUUGUUUAUUAUGUAUCAGUGCAAAAGUUACACUUUAGUUUAGCUAAAGCUAAGCUAGUUAAAAGUAUACUAUAACAUCUAUAUCAGUAGGCAAUUGGGCACAUGCAUGGCUGGAAGCAGGUUUCAAUAAUUGGUGGAUUAGCCAUGCUGCCCUGGAAUAUUUUAUUAUUAUUGCCAAUGAAAGUUUAUUAGUUUGGAGGCUGCAGGGUACACGCCAUUCAAGUGUUUAGUUGUGACUGGCUGCAUGCAUAGCUGACUGUAGUAAAAGGAAAGCUCCAUCAUCGUCUCAAAAGAAAAAAGAAACAAACACGCCGUUAGCUUUCUGCAUGGCUGUGCCCUGAAUGAUUUGGUCAUCGAUAUUGCAAAACUGAACAUGAGCUCUGAGCCGUAAGUGCAGAGAUCAGAUCUGAUGGAGGCAGCAUAUCCUCUCCUACUUGAAUGCUUGUAUUGCAGAAGUUCUGAAGGAAAAAAACAAUAUAAUGCAGUACACGCUUUAAAAAAAAUUCCACAUUCUAAGUGAAGUGCAAUCUAAAAAAGAUCGAUGGUCCAGACUACUGAAAGAGAGGACCAGACACUAACAUUCAUAUAUAUUUAUAUAUAUAUAUAUAUAUAUAUAUAAUAUCUACUGGUCAAACUGACACAUAAGUUUUUGAUUUAAACAUUGGCACGCGCGGUCCCCAAACUGACUGCUAUUUUUUUCGUAAUAUAUUUAAUUUUUAGGGUGAAGAAAAAAUAUACUACUAUAAAAACUACUUUGCAAGGCAGAUAUCAUUUCAAAUAUCAAAACUAAAAAUUAUAAAGAAAAUUGCAAUCAAAGUUUAUAAUGGUUGCCUUGCAAGUAACCUAAAGGAUACUCAACUUUUUACUAGAUGGAGUAGUUGGCUGAGUGAAAGCUAGCAACCUCUGGAGAUGGUUCUCAGGUGAAGAUGCAAUCUGAAUUAAUUGUACUGGACCAAAAAACUUGAAUCUACUCCCAAAGAAAAAAAAAUACCUUCAACUACAGUUGCCCUCUUGCCCAUAUCAGAGAGUCAGUGUCGUCAGUGGUCACUAGUAAUAAUAUAUUUUUUGCAGUUUUUAUGAUGCUAGCUUUCAUGUGGCAUCUGCAGCUGCUUUGAUACCCGACCCAGCAGCAUAACCGUAGGAGAGGAGUAGCUCAUCACGAUCACGCACGAACCCCCCGUGACGGGUUUGAUGUGACUAAUUAAGGCAGCGAAGCUACCAUCAGUUGCAGUGUUUAGAGGUUUUUUUAGCCAGCUAAAAGUCGGCUAGUUAAAGUUUAGCUGGGGUGUUAUCCUACCCUUGGGCCUCCUUCCUUCCUCCUCCCUCCCCUUCGGCCUCCGCUCGACCGCAGCCGCGCCGGCCGCCGCCCCGUCAUCCGGCCGCACACAGCCGCUGCCCCCGUCGUCCGGCAGCACCCGCCGCCGGUCCAUCUGGCCGCGUCGCCGUCCUGCCGCCUCGUCUUGCUGCGCCGCCAAUCCACGUUGGGGCCGCGCGGGUGGCCGCGCCUCUCGUCGCAUGCUGGUGGCGGCCGCUGCACUGCGCUAGAGCCGCUUCACCCCUCCACGCCGGCCACCACCUCGCCUUCACGCGCCGCCGCUCCACCCCCGGCGGCGGCCCCCACGGCGGCGGUAGGUCCUGGACGGUUCCAUGUCGCAUUGAUUGGGAGUGAUUUCUGUUGGGAAUGAGCGAGGGUGUUUUGGUCUUUUGUUGGUUUAGGCUAGUUUAGGGUAAACCAGCUUAAGGAAUGAAUGUUUAGCCGGCUAAAGUUUAGUUGGGUCCUAUUUCGAUCGCCAGCUAAAUAAAGCUUGUGUCACUGAACUCAACCACUUGCCCUGAUCUCCAGAUUGUUUAUUGCAUUCGGUCGCCAUUAAAGGUUCUUGCUGCGAUUCAUGCAUGCUUUGCUUUGGAUCGAGCAGCGUACGUACAGUGUUCUCCAGCCCCAGAGGAGUAACCUUCGCCAGCAUAACAUUGUUUUCUUGCAUUGCAUAAUGAAAGCAACGCUACUGCCAAACAUGCAUUGCAUCUGGUUACAUCGAGCACUAACAAUCUGCAGAUACAAACAAUCCAACUGUACCAGGCAUGCUGUCAUGAAAUAAAAUCACCAUUCUUUUCUACAUGCUGUCGUUAGGUGAAUAUUAGAAAUCAUCCUUUUUCACCUCAUCCAAUCUUGUAUGUAAAGAUCUCUAUUGAGAUCAUACAGUAAAUCGGAUAAGGUGCAUAGGGCAACACACAUGAGAGACAGACCCAUCUGUUCAGAAGCAACUUUUAUUACCACACUUUCCUUUUUUUCCUUUUUUUUUCGGCGACCACAUAUUUAUCCUUUUUAGUACAGCCGUGUAGGUUAUUCACGCCAUGUACACAGUUUUACAGAGAAAUUACAGCAAGGCUUUCCAGGAAGCCAAAACACAGCACAUGUCUUUCUAUGUUGGGGUUGGACAUCUGCUAGAUGGCCGGUCUCACUUGUUGAUGAAAGAGACGCCCUUCUGGAUACUCUCGGCCAGCUCUUUCUUUGCCUUCUCAAGACCAGCUCUGCAUGAUAGUGAUGUGUGAUGAAGAUGAAGCGUAUGUAGAUCAGUAGAGCUCUAUGAUAUCAAAUAGGAUUGGACUAGGUAGGCCCCGAGCUGAGCAAGUUAAAACAUGUUGCAACUCAUCUUUGGGUCUAAUAUUUCUGCAGUUUCCAUGUAAAUUUUUGCCUAGGACCAGUGCUGGAACCCAGGCGGCACAGGUCACAGAUCCGCCACUGUAAAUAUGGUAUGUUGAAACAGGUUUGAAUAUAAUCUGGCAAUGUUAUGAUUGUGAUCACUAUAUUCUAGUAUAUGACAGUGUUACUGACUGUGAGCCAUAGGUCCAUGUCCAGCAGAAAAGAACUCAUGAAACUGGCUUAUUGUCAGUAUCUACUACCAUAUGAAGGGUCCAAUCAUGAUUCACAAAGAGUAAUAUGAACACAAAUUUCAGACAAAGUAAAUUCGCUGAGGCAGUUGCCUGCCCCUGGUGUUGACUGAUAGAGAAUAUCUAUCCUAAAUGCAUGCCGGGAACAGGAAUACUUCCAAGUUUCAAAAGUAGAGGGUGCAGACCUUUCGAACUCAUUCAAUGGCCCAAGUGGCAAUAUUUCCUCAACACCAGAGCGCCCUAACCGCACUUUGGAUGCAAAGAAAGGUAGCUCCGUCACCUUCAAUCACAAGACAAGGAAGACAGAAUUCACAAAUCAGAAAUACUAUUUAGUGAAGGUGGUUAAAACACAAAUUGAAUCAUGAUUAUAUUCAGUAUACACGAAAGAAGAAACCUGAGAAGCAACAUAAGAGCACUCCACUAUUCCGGCAUCACCACGCAGUCCUCUCAGGCAUGCAUCUGCAAAUUUAGCAGCUGCAUACGCCUACAAAGCAAGUUUCAAUGUUAACUGAAGCAGCACUACAAACUACAAACUGUGGACACUAAUCUUGAUACAAGUGGCAGAAACAGACCAUUGAAAGAGUCGCUGAUCCUGCUCCAGCUUUAGCCUGAAACAUAUACAGUAUGAGAUAAAAAAAUGAUUUUUUAGUAUUGACUGCAUUACAGUCAAGAACAGUUUCCAGAACUAUUAUUGAGAGAAGUAUGAGACCUUCACUAAACUAGUAACACCAAAACCUAGCACCUGGCAUAUGGGUAAAAAGCCAUGCACCUAAUCUUGCAGUUAACAUCAUGAAGAUGCCAUUGAUAUGCAUAUACGCACCCAAUUAGUCUUGUAUAUCCAAUAUAAUGACUGUCCAGAGUCCAGACGUUCAUAUAUCCAUUUUACUAGUGAUCUGACUCUUAUACUCUCAAAAUUAAGCAUGCCAAUUCUUUUUUUCAGCUUUGUUAAUCAUAGAACUAAACAGAUAAAACCAGUGCGCAUAGUAGAUCUAGGGCUGAGGAAAUGCAAAAGGGCCUGUGCAAUUGACUUUUCUUUCAUCCUUGUGUAUAAGAGAUACAGAAUUAGACGGCAAGGAAAAGCAUACCUCAACUACUUCUGUCCCACCAUUCUGUAUGCGAGAAGUGAGGUGAUUAACCUCUUCUGACGUGAGUGAGCAGGCAGGAUUCACCUAUGUAUAAAAUAAAAUAAGGUGAAAAUUGAAAUUGAUCCCCUACUAUUUCCAGACCUGUGAAAUAAUUUUCAAUAAUUUUGUAUCACUUCCAAUUAUUCCUAAGUCCUAACCUGUGAAAGGAGUGGUAAUAUUGUAACUCCAGCAUGCCCACCAAUGACAGGAACAUUGACUUCUCUGGGAUCAAGUCCAAGAACCUCUCCCUGCAAAACAGAGGUGAAUCAAAGAAAUUAACCAUAUAGAAACUAGUAUCACCAUAAUAAACCAUGGCAAACUCUGCUUAUGAUUUGAAGCGCAUACCACAAAAGUGUUGGCUCUCACUACGUCAAGUGUUGUAACCCCUAAAAGGCGCUUAGGAUCGUAUGUGCCAGCUUUCUUGAAAACUUCAGCCGCAAUGGGAACAGUGGAAUUGACAGGAUUACUGAUCACGUUCACAAUUGCCUUAGGGCAGCAUUUUGCAAUUCCCUCACAAAGAGUACGGACGAUUCCAGCAUUGAUGUUAAACAGAUCAUCCCUUGUCAUCCCAGGUUUCCGAGGGACACCAGCAGGAAUUAUCACAAGAUCCAUCCCAGUUAGAGCAUUUUCUAACUGUGGUUGGCCCAAGAAUCCACGCACCUGUAGAAUCUCAAACCUAAGUAAGUACAUCCAGUAAUACUAGCAUUUACGAUUCAAGAAUCCAACGGAUAACAGAACAAAUGCAGAGGGCACUCAAGAAAAUCUCAGAACUAACAAAACUGAAUCCAAGGAUAGUUACACACUUGUUAGAAAAAACUGCAAGCAGGAUGUUGUUUUUAACAAGGCAAAAUUAACUCUCCUAUGCAGAUUCUGUUCAGGGCCACACAACAUACUCGCUUCUAAGUGUUGUUACAGAAGGGUGAGGGGAGUGGGACGGGUACAUUAUGUGUACUGUAUGCCGCCUUUUGGAGACAACUACAGUGAAAAUCUCUGUUAGGAAUGGAUGCAAGUUUAGCAAUAGAAAGGCUUUUCCUAUAAUGAACCUUUUCAUAUUGUUAAGCCUCUAAUGUUCAGAGAUGGUGUACUGGCUGUGUGGAAAGACAGUCCACAUAAUACCAAAAACUUAGUAACAAGAAACGGAUUUGCACAUCUCCGUAGGUAGUGGCUGGGAUUUGUUACUCCAUUAUCUAAAAAUGUGACUGUAUAAGUUGAGAUUUGAACAAUUAUCACUGAAUGGUCAGGUACUAAGUCUCUUUCAAGGCUUUCAGUAGAAAUUCUGACAUGACAUGAUUUACACAACUCACAGGUAAAUUUCACAGGGAAAUUUUAUUUUUUUCAUGAGUUAAAGAAUUAUAACAGCAAGCUGGUUAAUCUCAACUUAUAUCCUCUUAAUAUUAACCUAAGAGUCACAAGUGCAGUAAAAAGACCUACGUGCAGCACUUAUAUCCUCUAAAUAUUAACCUAAGAGCCCAUAAAGGAACUAAUGGUAAUAAGGCCUACUAGCAUGCUGGUGUCAAUCUAUCUUCUGAAUUUGCCAGAAUCUCAUAAAAUGAUUUUUUUUAUAAAAAAAAUGGGAUACACGCAAUGGCAAGAAGCAUACCACAGCACCAGUAUUCAUGUGGCUAAUGUCAGCCGUGACACCAGGUGCGUUGACGACAUCAUAUAGAUGGAGCACCGAAACAAGAGGGUUCAUCUUCAUCAGUAGCGCGAGUGGCUGCCCGAUCCCACCAGCUGCACCCAAGAUUGCGACCUUGAAGCCUGGCGCCGCCCCUUUUGCACGGCAAAUGGAUCCCCUCAGGAGGGAGACCUCCUCCAUCUUGAAAACAAAGCAAUGGUAGAGAAUUUAGCAGAUAGUUAAAGCAGAUCUCAGAGAAGAAGGCAGUACAUCAACCAAAAGAUUUAAGGUACAGCUGAGCCUAGACUCAAGUCUGAAGGUAUAAACUCGUAGAUAGCUCAUACCAGGUAUAAUUAUCAGGAGAACUAACUUGAACACAAUUCUAAAAUCACUAAGACAGGCCGGUGGCAAUCAAAUAUGCAGGUACCCAAAAGGGACAGCUUGGGUUCAUUGCCAGAUUCAAGUGAUGUUUGCUAGAACUUUGAAGUGUAUGUCAUGCGUGGUUUAUCAGGUACUGGCAUUCAACUAUCAACAGCUAAGCAGAAAAAUUAUGGAUUGAUGUAAUUCCUGAUGGUAUUUGAUACGAGAUUGAAACGGACUCUACUAUUUAUCAGCACUGUGCUCAUUUGCGCACACGAAUCGUUCAUCCGCAAAUCAGUACCCAUGUGACUGUGAGAGAAAUUUCGGGGGCCCCCGGACCAAAAGGAUCGUCCUUUGACGCCAAAGAUCCCAGCUUUCGUGGAGCGGCGGCCGCCUUCGCCGGGCAAAUGAGACGAGUCCCUUGACCAUUGACGGCGGGUCGGACGGAGCUUGGUUCUCCGCGGCAAACCCGAAUUCACAGCGAAAGCUGGGCGACUAGGAGGUUCUAGAGACGGGAAGGGCAGGCGACGGUGAAAGCGAAACCAAGCAGUCCGCCAUCACUCCCUGAUCCGGAGGACCCCGGGCAAAUCAGGAGAAGCGGAGAGGGGCCCAAGGAAAAAGGGAGAACGCGGUGACGAACCUGAGGGUAAGAGGAGGCGGGGUCCGGGCGCAGGUGGGAGGCGAGCGUGGCCAUCCGCCUGGCCGCCGCCGCGUCGGCCCCUUGCUGCUCCAUGGUUGCCUUGGAGUUGCAGAGGCAGAGAGUCUCGCAGGAAGAGGAAGAGGGUGUCUGUUGCAAAACGUAGGUAAGGUGUUCGCGGGACGAUGCGUGCACGUUUCCGACGGAGUUGGUUGUGCUAUGGUAUGGGCCGUAUGGGCAGGAAGGCGGGCGGUGCGCAGAGAAACUCUGUCGUCCCAAAAUAUAGGUUGAUUUAGUUUUUUUAGAUUCGUAGAUAAUUUAGAUCGAGGCAGAGAAAUUGUAACACCCAAAUUUUUAAAGAAUUCAAAUUCAUUAAAAUUGGUACAAUUAGGAUGUCAUUUAAAAUUCUUAGGCAUAUUAAUUUUCUUUUUUUCUCCAAAUUUAAUUAAUUCAUCAUAGGAUUUUAUUGUACAUUCAUGCUGGUGCAUUUAUUUUGAUUGCUUGAGUUUGAAUCAAAUUUGAAUUUCAAAUUUAAUUUUCAAAUUUUCGAAACCUUACUUUUCUCUUUUUCUUUUUCUUCUCUUAUCUUUUUGUUGGGCCACACCCUUCUUUCCCCUUCUUCCUUUUCUUUCGGCCCAGCCGCACAGCAGCGUCGUCGGCCCGCUCCAUUUUUUCGUCGGCCUGCGAAACUCCCCGCUCCAUUUUCUCCCUCGCCGGCCCAGCUCUCCUCGCCCGCUCGGCCCACCGCUUCGCCUUUCCUCCGCGGCCCACGAAGCAGCACGGCCUGCUCCCCUUCCGCCGAUCUGACGGGUGGGACCCACCCGUCAUCCCCGUCCUCCGGCCGUAUCCGGCCGGGACUCCUCCCCCGACCGCGCCGGACUCUGCCGCCUCCGCAACCACCUCGCCCCCGCUCCGAUUUCCUCGGGCGUUCAAAUCCGAGGCCGCCCCUAUCUCCAAGCGUGCCGCCCCUAUUUAAGCCCCCCCCCCCCCGACCUCGAACACCCCGCGCCAGCACCGAAACCCUAGCCGCCGCAAGCUCCAGCGCCGCCGCCAAUUCUCCGCCGCCAAGCGCCGCCCUCCGGUGAGCCUCGGUCAUCAUGGACCGCCAAAACGAGAACGCCGUGCUUUCCUCUUGCUUCUGGUGUUCUCCGCGUGCGAAACCGAGCCCCGGAGCGCCGUUUCGGCCAACUCCGGCGACCCCGCCGCCGCGCUACCGCCGACGACCGCGACCGUCGGAUCCAGAUCCGACGGCUCGCAGCGGGUCAACCGAACCGCGUACCGGUCAACCGCGUCGCGUCGCUGUUCUUUUUCACUUAAGCCCUCGCCUUUUCCGCAAAUCAACCCGCGGUCCAGAUCACGUUGAAAAUAUUUACAGAUCUGCCCUCGCGUUUAUCGGUUUAAGACCUGAGUUUUCUAAAAAUCAACCCGCCGUCCGUUUUGGAGUUUUUGCACGUUAAACCUUCGGUUUAUACGCGUAAUUACGUAUAAGUCCUCGGUUUUUUUCGCAGUUUGACCCUAGGAGUUUUGUUUUUCUCGCAGAAAAGCCCUCGGAUCUUGUUUUAAUCAUAUCUUUUGCAUCUUAACUCCGUUUUUCGCGUCCUUUAUAUCCACGUGUUCGUUUUAAAGCGUAGAUCAAUUUUACAAGCUUGUUUUCUCUGUUUAAUUGUGAUUGGUGUACUGUUUCUUACAUUUUGCCCAUGUUUGCUUGUAUGUGCUCGUGUGACGCGUGUAGACGUUCAGCAGUUCGAGGGAUUUGAAGAUCAAGCCUUCGAGGAGUACGAACAGCAGGAGCAAGGCCAAGAAGGCAAGUCGUGUCCUUGAUCACUACUUUUCCGUCCUAUACACCUCUACUUUCUCGUACUCAACAUUUAUACUAUGCACAUGUUAAGAUUAAAUUCAUGGGUCCCAAUUAAGGUUCGCCUAGAUUGAAACUACCUUUGCCUUGACCAACCAGGUUUACCUUUUAUCUUGGGUAGCUCAUGCUUAGUGCUUACUUGGUAUAUGGUGGUUUAACUAAACUCAAUGUUUAAUAUUGCUUUACUUCUGUUAUACCUUUUAUUAAUACAAGAUCACUAUUGUUUAAUCGGAACAUGGAGAACCACCCAGGAAAACAGUGCUACCACAAGACUAAAUGGCUCUGGUCUUGGCUGAAUAAUUAGAAACUCUAGUUUGGGGUAAUCUUACCGAAAGGGCAAGAGGGGAGGCGUUGAUGGGAUAUAGCACUCGCUCUCGGGGGAAGUGGGCUUGGCUAAGACACUAUACCCACUAGGGGACUGCUAUGUUCUACUUCGACCUGAAACCUUAGCGGGUUACCACAUUGCUAGCGAAUCUUUGUAAAGGCCUCGUAGCGUCCCUAUGCAAUCACACCUCGGAAGUGUGGUACGGUGCCUUGCAAACACCGCAUGGUUAGGUCCAAAGUUCUUUUGAACUUUUACGCGACUUGUGGGUAAAGAUGUGCCACCUCUGCAGAGUGUAAAACUGAUCGAUCAGCCGUGCUCACGGUUAAGAGCGGCCUGGACCCUCACAUGAUAAUAUUAUCGGAAGAUGGAUUUAAAUUGUUGUCAUUUCAUGCAUAUGUUGUUUACUUUAUUUAUGCUCAUGUUUAAUUUCGGAUGGUAUAAACUUAUACUUAGUUAAUUGCUAAAUAAAACUUGACCAACUGAAUUAAAAGCUGAUGCCAAUUAAGCCUUAGCCAUACCUUGAUUUGCCUUACACUACACUAUUCCCCACGACUUGUUGAGUACCAACCAUAAGUGUACUCACCCUUGCAAAACCGCUGUUCAGACCAAGCUAAUUUGGAGGAGUAUCUGCACGACUUUGAGGAGUUCUAGGCGUACGGUUCAUCAGUCAGCUGCCUAUGGUGUCGUCGUCGUCUUUGGAGUUCCGCUGCGUAAUAAUUUAGGUUUAUAUUUUAUUGAGACUUUCGAUCAUGUAAUAAUGUUUAAUACUCCCUUUAUUCGCUUUAGCACUGUCUCUGUUAUUCACUAUUGUCGUACAUGUGUGUAACUUAAUCCUGGCGCACAUGUAUUUAAUACACUCGAUUUUUUCCUUAAAAUCAGGUGUGAUAGAAAUUGCCUUCGUUUCGGUCUUGGUCUCAUUUGCAUUUGUUUCCCCUUUACCUUUGCAACACGAUAUCAUGGAGGGCCAUGGAGUAUCUUCGGUUGGUGGUGACUAUAGUUCGUUCCAUUUCUUUACUGCUCCUCUCCUCUGGUUGAAAAUAUUCUGAUCUCGCUACAAUAAUUGACUCUUGAGGUUAAGACAUAGUAACAUUCUUGACAAAGAUGGUUAAAAGAAGAACAAUUUCUAAAACAGUGCCGUACAACAACACAACAGAUGUUGGUAUACAUAAGUUGAUUUUCUAUACAGUUUAUAACAAUAAUCAGUCAAUCACUCUCUCCACACUGUCUCUGAGAUGCAGGCAUUGCCACACUAACUAAUCCGCGCGUAUCAGAGGGCACAAUUGGGUAUUGACAACACCAGGAGUGGUUAAAGGCACCAAAGUCAACUUGCUGCUGGAUCUUCGUCUGCCGUACCUUCCACAUGAGCUGGGUGAGAUGAACAUGUAAAACUUAUCUGCAAUUGCAAAUUGAAUGCUCCUGGAUCUUCGUCUGCCGUACCUUCCACAUGAGCUGGGUGGGAUGAAAAUGUAAAACUUAUCUACAAUCGCAAAUUGAAUAAUGGCCGUUAGCAUCCCAACAACAAACUUGCAAACUUUUUCGAAAUCGAGCUCCAUGAUACUGCUUACCAUGGUAUAUUGGUUUUCUCCAAUGCUUCAUCAUUCAGAGUCCAUCUUGUGCCCCCCAUAUGCAUAGACCUCGUGAAUGAAGGGGAAAAGGCAACGGAAUUGUUAGGUCACGAUGAAUCACUUUGAGCGGCAUCAAGACCCAGCAGCAUCGGGCUAUAUAUAUCAAUGCAUGCCUUUUUCUUUGUAAGCAUGCAAUUGUUAGCGGAAGGUCAUGAAAAAACUAUUACUGUAAAUCAUCAUCCAUUUAUCAUGACUUCCUUUUAUUUAGCACUUCAUGCAUUGAUGGUCUUGGUCUCCACACACGCUCCAUGGCAAACGCAAAAAGGGAUUAAGUCAUCCAGAUAAAGGCUGAGAGGAUAGACUUGUUGACCAUAUGUUUUACAACAGGUAGUACGUCUGAAAGCUAAGAUAGUCUACUGCCUAGCAAGUUCGACGCAAACCUCAGCCUCAUAGGUUCUUCAUUUCUUCAGACUUUGGUGAGCGUUGUAUUAUUUUUUGUUGCAGAGCCUGAGAUGUCCAGCAAAAAACUGACCAGCUCCUGGAUUUUGACACCCUUCUCGUGUAUGAUUUCAGUAUAUUUCAGCUUCCGGCAUUGGAACCGCACAAGGUUCCCAAACUGAGGAUAUGUCUUCUUCAGCUUGGCCUUUCCUUUCCGACACAUGGAAACUUUUGGGAGCUGUCUCCACCAAACAAAGGACUCGUAAGUUACAAGCCAAAAUUUCUAAAAUUAUGGAUUUUCUCCUAAUUUUGCUUUUAAAAAUUUUAAAACCCAAUGGACAUUUCUUCCAGAACUUCUCAAGUAUGCAAAUAGUCAACCCAAAAACAUAAUUCAACUUCUGCGACAGCAAUUCUUUCACUUCUGUGGUAAUGUAACUGGUCUGUUCUCACAGACUUCUCUAAUCCUGGAUCAGAGGUGUUGUAUGCAACUCAACAGUACAACAAGAAACAUAUGAACAUAUAGAGUAACCACAAAAUUCAGGACAAAAGAUCAUCAUUAACAUGACGGGUGUUCUAACUGGGUGCAGAUAUUUGAAAGAAGAAAGCUCGAGCAAUGCUGCUUCAUCAGAGGAGAAAAUUAAAUCAGAGUUUAGAGCUGUAUACUGUUGAUAUCAGCAACAGGCCCUAGUAAGGAAGUUUGUAUUGCAAAAAUGCUGGGCUGGUGGUGAGAAUUAAACAACAAGCAACAUAGGGGUGAACCAACUAAGCACCAUACAUCCAUACUAGAGAUCAGUAUUAAUACAGCCUAAUAGCAAAAGAUCCGAUGAUGAACUUAACGAGUGUGGAGUUGAAAGGUCUGACUAUAUCUCCGUAAAGAAAGAAGGGUGUACCGUUUUAAGCUCGGACUGGUCACUCGUUUGCCCCAUCCUCGGAUCCUUUGCAGCACCUUCAGAGUACUUUCAAGUUUCAAUAGCAAAAAAUCAUGUGAGACAUGUAUGCAGGUCAACACGUGUCACGUAGUCAGAGUAGAUAAAGAAAAAUGUUAAGUACCCGUACCCAGAAAUCCUGCAAAAUAAGCUCCUCCAGAUUUGGGGACUUGUGCAGAAAUCUCCCAAGAGCCUUCAAUUUAUCAGCAUCCCGUUCGCUGAAGAAACAGUAGCUGAGAGACAAGGUUCUCAGGUUGUCGAACAUUGGGAACUUAUCUAACUCGUUGUCUAAGAAGGCCUGAAACAGAGAAGCAGAAACAGACUUGAGUCAAUAACGAAACUGAUCUAGUUCAGUAGGUCUUGCACAGAGUUCUGACGGUGGUGGUGAAAUCUUCAAAUGAGCUUUACUAGUUAUGCAUGGAACAGAGACGGCUGUAGCAUGGAAGAAAGGCAUACCAUUGCUUGAAAGAAUUGCAACUCCAAACUUGUCACACUGAAUAGACUGCCAAGAAGAAUGGCUUCAGUUCUUGGAGAUAACUGUUCAGGCAUUACAGAAAUUGAUGCCUUGACAAGGGAAUUUCCUGCCUCUAACGACAGACCAUUGUUGUAGCAACUAGAGUCCAGGAACAUGGAAGCUAGACAAGGAGCCCUGACGACCAAUGUAUCUGCAACCCGACUUGUACAAGCACGAACUACCAAGUUCCUGAGCGUGUCGGAUUGAAUGACAGCAAAGUUGUUGGCACAGUUGUGGAGGAGCAAAUCUUCCAGGACUGGGCAUCCAGAACUGAGCCGCUCCGAGAAGCAAGGGUCCAAAGACACCCACAAGCUCCAAGCUUUUGAGGCGAUGAAAGCCGGAGCCAAGGCGGGGGAUCUGGAAGUGGUACCUGAAGAUGUCGCGGUAAACACGAAUCUGGAACACAGGAGGCUGGCACUUGAUGCCACGGCGGACCCAUCUCUCGGUGUCGCGACACAGAUCGGGAAACUCAGUAGCCCAAAACAAGUCGAGCCGGAAAGCGUCCAGGCAGCGGGCGUUGUUGAGCAUCAGCAAGUUGUUGGUGAAAUCCUGCAGCUUCCUCCACCAGUGGCCUCCUCUGAAAUCGCUGGUGCUGAACGCCACAGAUCCAUCCACCUCUUAGACAGCACGGUGGUCUGCACCGCCUGCCGGGACGGGAGGAAGGAGAGGACGUGGCAGAGGAGCUCGUCCGACAGGGCGCUCAGCCGGUCCGGUGCCGAGCCGCGGGCCGUGCGGGCCUGCUUGGCGGCGGCCGCCUCCAUCGCAAGAAAAGCCCCGUCCGGAACCCGACCACCGCCGCGGCCACCUCCGAUCCGGUCGCCGGAGGAAGAGGCAAAACCCUCACAUACGGAGGUCUCGUGCCUCCCGGCGGCGAGGAAGACGAGCGACAGCUGCUGAAUCCGAUGGCCCAGCAGCCAGCAGCAAUCGCCUCUCACUCUUCUCACUCUCUCUCUCUCUCUCCCGUACGGAUGGGCCAAUGGGAUCAGGCGGGAUACGGCCCGUUGAAGCACCGGAUGAAUCGUUGGGCCUCCAAUUGGCCCAGCAGACAACCCUAGUGGCCGAUCUCCAACCGGUUAGGGUGAUCAUUCGGACGGGACUUUUCUAUCCAUCGCGGGACUCAACUACUCCCGCUAAAUUCAAUGUCCUAACGUCGCUAACACCCUUAUAAUUUAAUAAACUACGAUUUAUGAAUUAUGACUUGCUUCCUUCCGUUUUGGCUUUUAUAAGUACAUAUUUUUGAUAUAUAUAUAUAUAGUAUGUCUAGAUACGUAGAAAAUGAUAUGCAUCUAGAAAAGGCAAAUUGAAUAGUAAUUUAGGACAGAGGGAGUAUUUUAUAAGUUAUGACUUAUUUGCUUAGGAUGUGUUUGGUUUUGGAACGAUGUGGGUUGGGUUGGAGCCGACCUCCUUUUAUGGGUUGGAGUCGACCCAUCUCGUGUUUGGAUGAGAGGGACGAAGAGGGAUGGGUUGGGUCCAAUUUUUUGUUUGAUUGGAGGGAUUGAGAAGGUUGGGAUGGAUGGCAUUUUAACACCGUUAGCUAUGGGUCCCACCUGUCAGCUACAGGCCCACAUGUCAUCCUCACCCACCUUAUCUUCUUCCUCUGGCCACUCUCCCUCUCCCCCGAGCCACCGCUCCCUCUGCCCCCGCGCCGCCGCCCCUCUGCACGUGCGGCCGCCGCUCCUCCCUCCUCCGUGCCGCCGCUCUAUCUCCCCGCGCCACCGCUCCUCCCUCUCCCCUUGCGCCGCUCCUCCCCUGCGCUGGCUGCCGCCCCUCUCCCGCGCUGCUCCCUCCCCACAUCAGCCGCCGCUCCCCUCCCUGCGUCCUCCUCCGUUCCUACUCGGGCGAAGGGCGGUAGCGAGGAUGGCAGGAGGAGGCGGGGCCGGUGGGAGGGUGGAGGGGCCGGGUUGAGGGCGUCGGGCAGGCGGCGGACAGGUGGCAGGGGCGUCAAGCAGGCGGCGGCGGCGAUCGAGGCAGAUGCGGGGGCAGGGAGGUGCGCGCACGGGAGAGCACAGCGCUCGUGCGGGUCGAGUGCGUCCGCUCGUUUUGGGCGGACGCAUUCAACCCGCAUCUACAGGGAAUAUUCCUUACGGGGGACGAAUCCAACCCAUUCCAUUUCCAACCAAACGCGGGAUGAGGGGGUCGAACCCAUUCCAACCCACAUCAACCCGGUAACCAAACACACCCUUAUGCUUGCACUCGUGCCUGCAUGUACUUAUUUGCAUAGCGCUAAAGGUUAUAGCUGUCGCUAUAGCUGUAUUUAGCGGCUAUAGGUUGAGGCUAUCCGCACCCGGAGUCUGCAAAGAUGCCUCAACUGGAAAGAUAGAGCUGCAUGCACUGCACCGCAGCACGCUAUCCCCAUCUCCACCGAAGCGUUCGCUACAGGAAACCUGGAUACCCAACAUUCGGCUCCGCUACGCUACGCUCUCUCUUCGCCUACCACGAGCCCCGCCCACCCCGCCGCGCCGCCCGCUCUCUCUGUCUCUCCCGGGCGUGAUACAGGCGAUGCGGCGGCAACAUCCGUGUCCUCCAGCGCCUGUAAAAGCCCUUCUGACAAGUGGGCCAACCCCUUUACCGCGUCCUUUGCAGACCGCCGCGGUGCGGUCAGCCUCAGGAGCACUUCAUUGUAUUGCGACUUCUACACGAAUAGGCUUUAGCUAUUGGGGCGCUACACUUUAAAGAAAGAUUAUCUUGAAACCCGCCAUAAAUUUAUUUUUAGUAAACCGUACCUUAUUAAUAUUAUUAUUUCAGCUGUACACAUUAGUCUUGUCCCAAGCAGCGUGGAGAUUUAGCGAGCAGAGUAGACCGAUCCGUUACUAUGGACCCGUUUGGUUACUUUUGCUUAUUUUUAGCACGUGUCAUAUCGAAUGUUUAGAUACUAAUUAGGAGUAUUAAACGUAGACUAUUUACAAAACUCAUUACAUAAGUGGAGGCUAAACGGCGAGACGAAUCUAUUAAGCCUAAUUAAUCCAUCAUUAGCAAAUAUUUACUGUAGCAACACAUUGUCAAAUCAUGGACUAAUUAGGCUUAAUAGAUUCGUCUCGCCGUUUAGCCUCCACUUAUGUAAUAGAUUUUGUAAAUAGUCUACGUUUGAUACUUCUAAUGAGUAUCUAAACACGGGUGCUAAAAAUAAGCAAAGAAACCAAACCAGAGCUAUGUCAUCUUAUAUAGCUAGCCAACGAAGAGAAUAGGGAUAUACCUACGCUCGCUACAUGCCGAGAGCUACAUUCGUACUCGUAUCCACGUGGAGGCGUCCAGCACCUUGCAUCAACAUCAUCGACCAAUUCAAUUCUGUGUAGCGGUAUUAUAGACGGGGACGGCCCAAUGCAUUUUCCCCCACUAAAUAAACAAUGAAUUCGAUCACCAUUGCAUGAUGUUGUACCAUAGGAGUACUCUAAUACAUCAAAGUACUCCGGUUCCGAUCAUGGAUGGAUCAAGAAACUCGUGCUAACGAGUAAUUUAACAUAUAUAGGAACUCGUGCCGGCGUCAACCUGUCCGAUCAAGACGGGUGGGGCAUUAUACUGCAUGCGCGCGUCAUUGUGUAUUGGUAUAGUAAUUAAGCUAGCAGAUAUAAUCUGCAGGGCUCCUUGCAACGCGCAAUAAAUAAAGAGGAUGGCGAUUACUCCCUCCAUCCUGCAAAGAGCGUCCCUUUAGAUUUAUCCUAAGUCAAACUAUUUUAAGCUAGGUUGAUCAAGUUUACAAUGAAGAUAUCAGUAUUUACACUCUUUGCAGGACCAGAAGUCAAUGGUUAGAUUCCUCCAUAAUGCCAAUCCAGCAAAGCACCAAUAACUUCUGGUCCCUCGUAGAGAAACAUGCUCUACGACAAGCACAACACACGUUGCAAUUUUAUUACUUUAUCAUAGUAGAUGAGCGGUAACUAGCUAGCUAACCACAUUUAGUUGAUAUAAACCAUGCCAGAUACCAUAGGGAAAGUGGCAGAUCUAGGGGGCUACACAGCUCAGGGAGCCCACUCUUAAGCCUCUCCUACAAAUUUUGACCAUGGAUAGAGGAGGAGAAGAAGAUGCGGCACAAAUAUAUCACUACAGCAGCUAUGAUCGUCCCUCGUAGGGAAACGUGUUCUACGACAAGCACAAUGCACGUUGCAAUUUUAUUAUUUUACUAUUAUUUUUACUCUAAGCCUCCCCUACAAAUUUUCAUCAUGGAUAAAGGAGAAGAAGAAAAGAGAGAAGGGGAAGAAGAGAAAGAGGAAGGAGAAAUGGAGGAGGAUUGGGUGAACGAGCCCCCUGGGCCCUGGCCCUAAGCUAGCAGACUGCGUCCGCUGGAGUUUUCACGGUGCGUUCGUCUUCUCUUAGUUCGUUGAGCCUGACUGGAAUUUCGGGCCGUUUUCUAUCGGUACCGCCCAUUUUCAGCUGUGCUUUCCAUUCUAAAAUUAAGGAGCUACGUACCACCAGCUGAAGAGCUAGCUAUCUUGUAAAUGUGAUGAGAUCGAUCGACGAGAUCACUGAUGACUAUACAUACGUAUGGAUCUUUAGGUGAGCCGGCCCUUAGAAAUCAAAAUCUACCUAGCAACGGUCCACGUAACUGAACAGUCUUGACAUUGCAUCAAUUUUCAGAACCAAGACUAAAAUUGCUCAUUCAAGAUAUGUUACUUACGCUGACCUGCCCUAGAAAUCGGUGCAUUUUCAGGACCGAUCACCGACCGUCACUACGUUUGGAUUGAUUUAUGCUGCCACAUGGAAUUUAACGUGCUAGCAGACGGGAUUGCCACGUGCCAGCACAAAGGUUCCCUGGAAAUACAUAAUUAGUAUAGUAGCUAGCUAAUAAUCUAGAAACAAUUUUUUUGGCACAUAAUUUUAGAAGCAGUUAAGAAAAAUAUAAAGAUUUAGAGCCCACACUGUGAUUGAUUUUUUUGAAAGAUGGUUUUAUUGAGCCAAUAAAGAAAGCUAUUGUAAUUAAGUACUUGUUUUGCUCCUUUUUUUCUAUUUAUGUACACCUGAAAAAAAAGAAAAUAA
rnacentral:lncRNA from 1 species